AUACUUACCUGGCAGGGGAGAUACCAUGAUCAAGAAGGUGGUUCACCCAGGGCGAGGCUCAGCCAUUGCACUCCGGUUGUGCUGACCCCUGCGAAUGGCCCUGGGACCGUACGAAGUGCAAAUUUUUGACC
ensembl:snRNA U1 U1 spliceosomal RNA